rnacentral:rRNA from 1 species
GACGUAGGGUCCAAGCGUUGUCCGGAAUUAUUGGGCGUAAAGAGCUCGUAGGCGGCCUGUUGCGUCCGCUGUGAAAGCCCGGGGCUUAACCCCGGGUCGGCAGUGGAUACGGGCAGGCUAGAGGUAGGUAGGGGAGAAUGGAAUUCCCGGUGUAGCGGUGAAAUGCGCAGAUAUCGGGAGGAACACCGGUGGCGAAGGCGGUUCUCUGGGCCUUACCUGACGCUGAGGAGCGAAAGCGUGGGGAGCGAACAGG